rnacentral:rRNA from 1 species
UAGUGGCGACGGGUGAGUAACACGUGGGCAAUCUGCCCUUCACUCUGGGACAAGCCCUGGAAACGGGGUCUAAUACCGGAUACGAGUCUGGGAGGCAUCUCCUGGACUGGAAAGCUCCGGCGGUGAAGGAUGAGCCCGCGGCCUAUCAGCUUGUUGGUGGGGUAAUGGCCUACCAAGGCGACGACGGGUAGCCGGCCUGAGAGGGCGACCGGCCACACUGGGACUGAGACACGGCCCAGACUCCUACGGGAGGCAGCAGUGGGGAAUAUUGCACAAUGGGCGAAAGCCUGAUGCAGCGACGCCGCGUGAGGGAUGACGGCCUUCGGGUUGUAAACCUCUUUCAGCAGGGAAGAAGCGAAAGUGACGGUACCUGCAGAAGAAGCGCCGGCUAACUACGUGCCAGCAGCCGCGGUAAUACGUAGGGCGCAAGCGUUGUCCGGAAUUAUUGGGCGUAAAGAGCUCGUAGGCGGCUUGUCACGUCGGGUGUGAAAGCCCGGGGCUUAACCCCGGGUCUGCAUCCGAUACGGGCAGGCUAGAGUGUGGUAGGGGAGAUCGGAAUUCCUGGUGUAGCGGUGAAAUGCGCAGAUAUCAGGAGGAACACCGGUGGCGAAGGCGGAUCUCUGGGCCAUUACUGACGCUGAGGAGCGAAAGCGUGGGGAGCGAACAGGAUUAGAUACCCUGGUAGUCCACGCCGUAAACGUUGGGAACUAGGUGUUGGCGACAUUCCACGUCGUCGGGCCGCAGCUAACGCAUUAAGUUCCCCGCCUGGGGGAGUACGGCCGCAAGGCUAAACUCAAGGAUUGACGGGGGCCGCACAAGCAGCGAGCAUGUGCUAUCGACGCACGCGAGA